GACGGAGGAUGCAAGCGUUAUCCGGAAUGAUUGGGCGUAAAGCGUCCGCAGGUGGCAGUUCAAGUCUGCUGUCAAAGACCGGGGCUUAACUUCGGAAAGGCAGUGGAAACUGAACAGCUAGAGUAUGGUAGGGGCAGAGGGAAUUCCUGGGUGUAGCGGUGAAAUGCGUAGAGAUCAGGAAGAACAUCGGUGGCGAAGGCGCUCU
rnacentral:rRNA from 1 species